rnacentral:pre_miRNA from 1 species
UAGAUUUGUCUAGAUACGGAUGUAUCAAGUCACAUUUUAGUAUUAGAUACAUCCGUAUCUAGACAAAUCUAAGACAUGAAAUUUGGGGCAGAGGGAGUAGUUG